CAGGAAUGCAUUAACCCUUGGAAUGACUGAACCGGGAGCUACUUGCAAAUCCCCAGGAAUGUUAGGAAUUGUAUGUUAAAAUCACCCACCAAAACACCAUGAUCAAAACUGAAUACAACAGAUGACACCAACUCCUAAAAUUCAGAUAAAAAACAACCAUGUGAUUUAGGGAGUUAAAUUACCAAAAAGAACUCCUAAACAUUUAAAACUCAGGAAUGCAAAGAUAGCAAAAAUGUCUUAUUCAAAAAUGCUAUGGCAUCAAUUAAUGUUAGUUUCUCAGCACGACCAUGCCCCCAUCCCUAUCGAAAACAGACAGGAGAUUUUCUGCAAAUUAUUGUAGUUACUAUCUCCAGAUUCAAAAACAGGAUUCACUGAAGAGAAGCAAGUCUACCUGAUCAGACUUAAAUACACCAGGCCAUAACCGAACAUACUGGAACUCCAAAGAUUGCCACUAACAGCAGCCUAGCUGCUUGAACACGCUGUCCAAUGAAGCCAAAUGACACAGUUUACAGAACAACCAUGUCCAUCGCUUAAGCCUCUGUUGUGGCUGGACCAAAUUAUUGCUGUGAUGGCUGUAUUGAGGUAAUAAAAUGGGUGUUUACAGGAAAAGGAGGUUUAAAUGUUGAAAUAUUAUCAACAUAAAACAAAGGAACAUAGAAAUUCUGAAUCCUUAUAAAAUGAUCUGUGUACAGAGAGGUAAAUCUUGUUAAUGUUGAUGUGCAGUAAAGAACGGCACAAGCUGUUCUCUUCAAUUAAUUCUGAAGUGUAAUGGUACGCUCCCCUUCUCACUGAUCACGUGGUACGGCCCACCACAUGCAGUGGGAGUUCACCAUUGACGGUUUAUUGUGUCGUUUGUAACCAUGCCCCCCUUUGUUAGUACACACCCAGUUCAGUGUGUCAUUUAUGCAUGUAUUUAAACCUCUGUUGGAGUGUACUUCGUUGUCAGUCAUUAUUCGUGAUAGAUAUACAAGUUCAUGGUAGACGGUAAUGUUAGUGUGCAUUGCUCGUUGUUCAUGUGUCCUGUUCGUCGUCUUCACGUCGCAUGGGUUAUAGGAAGUCAUGUGAAACCAGCAAAUGAAAUGCAAAUAUGCCUGAGAGUAGAGCCAUCUCAGGAGCAUGUGUGUGCGCAUGUGUGACAGACGCCCUUUAUUUCGCUUGGAGUUUAUGACAACACGAGAAGAGGGGCAGCACAGAGGCUUUGAUGCCCUCUGACCUCCCUGGUCCAGGUCUCUUGACUGGCCUCGUACCCGACACGCCUGAAUACUCCUAGGUGGAAAGAGCAGUCUUCUCACCACCUCAGGGCAGAGAGCACCAUACCCCAUCAAUAUCAUGCAAUAAACUGUGACAGUAGCUUCACUCAUGAGAUUCAUGAAGCAAAUCUCUUAGUAAGUCUGGUGAGAGAUUUGAUUGACAGGGGCCUUCCAGUUUAAGUUUAACGGCUA